AUGCAAGUCGAACGCGAAAACCCCGCAAGGGGUUAGUAGAGUGGCGAACGGGUGAGUAACACGUGGGUGACCUACCUUCGAAUGGGGGAUAACGUCCCGAAAGGGACGCUAAUACCGCAUAACAUCCUGCUUUUGAACAAGUGGAGAUCAAAGCCGGGGAUCGCAAGACCUGGCGUUUGAAGAGGGGCCCGCGUCUGAUUAGCUAGUUGGUGAGGUAACGGCUCACCAAGGCGACGAUCAGUAUCCGGCCUGAGAGGGCGGACGGACACACUGGGACUGAGACACGGCCCAGACUCCUACGGGAGGCAGCAGUGGGGAAUUGUUCGCAAUGGGCGCAAGCCUGACGACGCAACGCCGCGUGGAGGAUGAAGGUCUUCGGAUUGUAAACUCCUGUUGCCCGGGACGAAACGCUUCGACCUAACACGUCGAAGUUUGACGGUACCGGGUGAGGAAGCCCCGGCUAACUCUGUGCCAGCAGCCGCGGUAAUACAGAGGGGGCAAGCGUUGUUCGGAAUUACUGGGCGUAAAGGGCGCGUAGGCGGCCUUCUAAGUCGAACGUGAAAUCCCCGGGCUCAACCCGGGAACUGCGUCCGAUACUGGAAGGCUCGAAUCCGGGAGAGGGAUGCGGAAUUCCAGGUGUAGCGGUGAAAUGCGUAGAUAUCUGGAGGAACACCGGUGGCGAAGGCGGCAUCCUGGACCGGCAUUGACGCUGAGGCGCGAAAGCCAGGGGAGCAAACGGGAUUAGAUACCCCGGUAGUCCUGGCCCUAAACGAUGAAUGCUAGGUGUGGCGGGUAUCGAUCCCUGCCGUGCCGA
rnacentral:rRNA from 1 species